UCAUGAAUAUUCUCACUCUUCUGAUUUUACAAUAAUCAGGGCAGGCCAAACAUUUGCUCUAUUAAGACCAUGCAUGUGUCCUCAGACCUAGUUCUUUCCCUAGGUCUGAUUUUAUCAAUGCUGGUGAUAAAC
rnacentral:snoRNA from 1 species